AAAAUCUCGGCACUUCUGUUCUGGAGAGGUUUAUCAGACUGAAAUAUAAUCUUAAUGUAAAUUCAAGUUCGUGUUUAACUGACCAUUCUAGACAUUGUGCAACAGAAGUUCAGCCUAUCGUGUAAAUAUACGGGGUAAAACCUGAUGACCCAUGUGCGCUCAACAGGAGAUCAACUAGCGAUCUGGUCAGCGGAAGUUGCAAUGCCUCCCAUCCGCGUAUCUGUAUCUUUUGAAUGUAUUCCCUGGUUGUCACCAGUCUUUAAUUCUGUUCAUAUAAUAGAAUACCCGACGACACUUAAUAGUGACCUCAGAUACAUUUAGAGAAGUUUAGUUUAACCAGCCAGAAAAUGAAUUUGGAUAAGGUGAACUCUACGGCCCUGGCCGCCGUAGGACAUUCCAGCGAAUUACUGGGAAGAAUAGCGGAUAUUAAUCUUAUAAAAUCACUGUUUUAUUUAAAACCACGGUGAGUCUAUUUUCUUCUUGGUAUGACGUCUUGGACUAGGCUCACCAUGAUCAAAAGAUGACCAGGCGCUUUCGACAGAUAUUUACUUGGAAAACAGAAAAUCAAUUAUGUAUCUUGUUUGAUUUACUUAAAAAAAUAUUAUAGACUUU
rnacentral:sRNA from 1 species